AUGUGAUCUGAGUUCAGACCGGAGCAAUCCAGGUCAGUUUCUAUCUAUGCCGAUGCUUUUUCUAGUACGAAAGGACCCAAAAAGCAUGGCCAAUAUUUUAUGCAAGCCAUUAUUAACAAAACAUGAUUAAACCUUAAUUUUUAUUCAACCCACUUAGACUUUCUAGAUAAGU
rnacentral:rRNA from 1 species